rnacentral:misc_RNA from 1 species
GCCGCACUUUGUCUUUGCGGCAGCCGGAGAGUUGUGUAUCACCGGAGUUUUGUGCUUUCAAAUUCGGAAGAAAUGGGUCGUUCUCGGGCUGUUCAUCAAUCCACUGAUGAUGAUCCAAGCCAGAGGUCUAAGAGAAAAAGGGCAGCACCAAAUGUGGAGAGUUUUGAUACUGCAGCUACUGGCCAAAUAUUGACUGAAGGGAAAAAGGCCUUGUACCAUUGCAAUUAUUGCAAUAAA